UCAUAUAGCAACCAAGCUCAACCUGUACAUAAACAUAAACAUAACAUAAACCUCCACUGGAGCCCUCAUCAAAAUGCUCCAAUGGGGUAUCUCAUCAUACAUAAGCUUGGCUGAAACAUAACCUCAUAUCUCAUAUCAUCAAGACCAUGUACAUACAAGUGGGAUUAACAAUCUGUAUUGGUCAAGCACAACUCUAUCCUCAAUAUUCAAAUUACACAACAUAACUUAAAACACUUUUACAU
rnacentral:lncRNA from 1 species